rnacentral:lncRNA from 1 species
GUUACAUUUUUAAUUCCAUUCUGAUUAUAGUCUAUUAUCAGGACAAUGUAUAAUUUGCAUGUUUUUCAUUUGAGAGUAAUGAUACAUAGCCAUUGAUAAGCCAUGUUCCUCUUCCUUUCACCCCAUUAAGCUACAAGUUUGGAUAAACAAGUGUACUUAAUUUCAAUUUCAUAUAUUGUUUGAUGGCACCCCUGAGAAUAAAGAGGCAGGUUUCAUAAGACAAUGGGCUAACUUAAAAUCAGUUUUUGGAUACUGUUUCAUACAAACUGAAUACACUUAACUAGAAAAUGAUAUCUCUACUUUUUCCUUUCAAAGAUAAUGACACUCCUUUUUUCCCCCUCAGUCAUCAUUGCCUAGAAUACCCUACUUCAAACAAUGAAACUCACUUUCAAUCUAUCAUCAUCUUUCACUCUUCAGUGAAACCCCAUGUAGCUUCCAGAUGUGGUUUCAGGAUUUCUCUAUAUUGUUGGAGAGAACUGAAAGUCAUAGAGGACACCAAGCAUCACGCCUGACCAGCAAUGGAACAGCCCUACCUUAAUGUUUAUCACUUCGCUUCCACUUUCCUAAUUUCACUCAAGUUUCUAUUACUGAGAAACUCAAACUUGUACUAAAACAAAGAAGAGGAUUCCAAGGAAACAUUUAGGGCUCAAGAGAAAUCAUUGCUGCUUUAGCGCCUGGAGAAGAGCUACAGCUCAGGUGUUCAAUAGAAGAGAUGCACACAGGCAUCUAUGUUGUCAGCAAGCUAGCACUAUCAAAGCAUCUGGAGACAACAAUAGGAGUCAAGGAUACCAUCUCUAGCACAGAUCCCCGAACAAGAACCUGAGACCUGCCGAACAGCAGGUGCCAAAGAUGCUGCUGUAACACCACAGCCCUCCCAUCUUCCAUCCUCCACUGGCGCUGAGUGGCAGUCCCAUGUGACAGGAAGUGGAGGCAGAGCUGGGCCAGCCCAGGAGCCACGUGCUGGAGCCAGAUACUCUGUUUUUCUACAAAUGGAAAGUUUGUGGCAUCCUUGACUCAAGCAAAUUUUUCAGCACCAUUUUUCAAGAGCGUGUGCUCACUUCACCUCUCUGUAUCGUGUUUUGAUGCUUGUCCUGGAAACCAACCAUGAGCUGUGAUGAAAUCCAGGCAACUGAGUUGUGUUUCAGCCCAAAGCAGCAAAUGGAAUCCAGCUUCAGGACCAUCAUCUGACAUAGGGGAAGAAGACUUACAUAGAAGGCCUAACCAGCACCCAAGAUCAUGCUCAUAGGUGGAGGAGACUUGCUUUGUCUCAGAUGAGACUUUGGACUGUGGACUUUUGAGUUAAUGCUGAAAUGAGUUGAGACUUUGGGGAACUGUUGGGAAGGCAUGAUUGGUUUUAAAUAUGAAUAUAUGAGAUUUGGGAGGGGGUCAGGGGUGGAAUGAUAUGGUUUGGCUCUGUGUCCCCACCCAAAUCUCAUCUUGUAGCUCCCAUAAUCCUCCCAUGUUGUGGGAGGGACCCAGUGGGAGAUGAUUGAAUCAUGAGGGCGGGUCUUUCUCAUGCUGUUCAUGAUCCCAUUCAUGUGAGAAAGACCCAUGUGAUCAUGAAUGGGUCUCACAAGAUCUGAUGGUGUUAAAAAUGGGAGUUUCUCUGCACAAGCUCUCUGCCUGCUGCCAUUCACAAAGGAUGUGACUUGCUUCUCCUUGCCUUCUGCUAUGAUUGUGAGGCCUCCCUAGCCAUGUGGAACUGUGAGUCCAAUUAAACCUCUUUCUUUUGUAAAUU